rnacentral:rRNA from 1 species
GACGAACGCUGGCGGCGUGCUUAACACAUGCAAGUCGAACGGAAAGGCCCUGCUUUUGUGGGGUGCUCGAGUGGCGAACGGGUGAGUAACACGUGAGUAACCUGCCCUUGACUUUGGGAUAACUUCAGGAAACUGGGGCUAAUACCGGAUAGGAGCUCCUGCUGCAUGUUGGGGGUUGGAAAGUUUCGGCGGUUGGGGAUGGACUCGCGGCUUAUCAGCUUGUUGGUGGGGUAGUGGCUUACCAAGGCUUUGACGGGUAGCCGGCCUGAGAGGGUGACCGGCCACAUUGGGACUGAGAUACGGCCCAGACUCCUACGGGAGGCAGAAGUGGGAAAUAUUGCACAAUGGGCGGAAGCCUGAUGCAGCAACGCCGCGUGCGGGAUGACGGCCGUCGGGUUGUAAACCGCUUUCGCCUGUGACGAAGCGUGAGUGGCGGUAAUGGGUAAAGAAGCACCGGCUAACUACGUG